rnacentral:rRNA from 1 species
AGAAUAAAAUCCCGAUAGCAUAUAUUUCCCGCAUGGGUUUUAUAUUAAAGAAAUUCGGUAUGAGAUGGGGAUGCGUUCCAUUAGUUUGUUGGGGGGGUAACGGCCCACCAAGACUACGAUGGAUAGGGGUUCUGAGAGGAAGGUCCCCCACAUUGGAACUGAGACACGGUCCAAACUCCUACGGGAGGCACCAGUGAGGAAUAUUGGUCAAUGGACGCGAGUCUGAACCAGCCAAGUAGCGUGAAGGAUGACUGCCCUAUGGGUUGUAAACUUCUUUUAUAUGGGAAUAAAGUGGUCCACGUGUGGACUUUUGUAUGUACCAUAUGAAUAAGGAUCGGCUAACUCCGUGCCAGCAGCCGCGGUAAUACGGAGGAUCCGAGCGUUAACCGGAUUUAUUGGGUUUAAAGGGAGCGUAGGCGGAUUGUUAAGUCAGUUGUGAAAGUUUGCGGCUCAACCGUAAAAUUGCAGUUGAUACUGGCAGUCUUGAGUGCAGUAGAGGUGGGCGGAAUUCGUGGUGUAGCGGUGAAAUGCUUAGAUAUCACGAAGAACUCCGAUUGCGAAGGCAGCUCACUGGAGUGUAACUGACGCUGAUGCUCGAAAGUGUGGGUAUCAAACAGGAUUAGA